CCCAUUAUCAGCUUUCCUCACAGGAUCAACACAAAAAACUUUUACACAAAAAAAAAAGAGAAAACCACAUACAUUCUCACUUACAAAAGGAGGGGUCUCCAACCCCCUUUUAAUGUAUUCCUUGACAUAAUUCCCCAUAAUGUCAGGAGCUGAGAUCUACUAAGUGAUCUCCAAGCAGGGGUAUAUUAAGAGGUUGACCUGAGCCAGCGACUUCCAUAAUAACUACUCAUUUAUCCCUUGUUGCCACUUCUGGCCAUUAAAGCAUAUAUAAGAACUGUAGCUAAGGAUAUAGAGG